ensembl:misc_RNA
GGAUAGUAUCCCUGGGAGGCAGAUAGGAUGCUGUGCCCUGGAAUUGUCUCACCAUUUGAAUUGGUAUUGCUCAGCCCUGUGGAUUCAACAUCCCAGGGACCAUGGCUUUCUGGCUUUUUGUCUUUUUGGAUGGCUGCUUAUCACAAUAUUGUCGUAUUUGCUUUAGGCAAA